rnacentral:rRNA from 12 species
UGAGGCAGCUAAACCUCCUGAGAGUGCCUGAUCUUGUUAGAUCUUGGAAGCUAAGCAGGGCAGGGCCUAUCUAGUACUUGGAUGGGAGUAUGUCUUGGAGGACCAGGGCUUGCUAGAU